rnacentral:rRNA from 1 species
AACGAACGCUGGCGGCAGGCUUAAUACAUGCAAGUCGAACGGGCGCAGCAAUGCGUCAGUGGCAGACGGGUGAGUAACACGUGGGAACCUUCCUCGUUGUACGGAACAACUCAGGGAAACUUGAGCUAAUACCGUAUAAGUCCGAGAGGAGAAAGAUUUAUCGCAAUGAGACGGGCCCGCGUCGGAUUAGGUAGUUGGUGAGGUAACGGCUCACCAAGCCAACGAUCCGUAGCNGAUCUGAGAGGAUGAUCAGCCACACUGGGACUGAGACACGGCCCAGACUCCUACGGGAGGCAGCAGUAAGGAAUAUUGCGCAAUGGGCGAAAGCCUGACGCAGCGACGCCGCGUGGGGAGU